CUAAUGUCUCUGUAAAGCACUUUGAAUCACCUUGUUGUUGAAUUGUGCUAUACAAAUAAAUUUGCCUUGCCUUGCCUAGAUGUCAGAGAUCCCAGUGGACAUCGACAUCACGAAGGAGUAUGAGAAAACAGAAAAGUACCUGAAGGCUGAAGGAACAACUUGUGCAGAUGUGGGAGGUAAAAAUCCAAAGUGGUUCCAGUGGUAGCAGGAGCAUUGGGAGCUGUUAUUCCAGCAGAUUCCAGGCACAGCAUCUGAGUGUGCUCUUAGGAAUACGGCAGAAACUUGAAACUACCAGGCAGAGGACCUGAGCUUCAGACGUAUUUAUAAGUAAUUGUUGUUGGCAAGUAAAAAUACUUACAAAGCAUUUUUACUUGCUUUAUAAGUAAAAAUGAGUCAACAUGAAAUAUACCCUUCCUGUCCAGCUCGGACCCACACAGGAUCCAGCUCUUCUUUUUGUUGCUGCUGGAUCUACAGAAGAAACACUUCCUGACGUGAAACCAGAUUUGAUGUCCUACAGAAGAGUAACCGCCAUGUUUGUCUGUCCAGGCUGAACCGUGUUGGCAGCCGUGCAGGGCAUCCCAUUCCUUUGACAACAAGACCUUAUUCACCAGUUUCACCAGUGUUACCAUUCUUGACAUGCUGCUGGUUGCUGAUUGGUUUGUUUUGGAGUUGAUUUACAGUCAGUCUCAGUGAAGCAGUUGAAAAUGCAACCACCUUGUAGCUAACAUUUUAGGUGUUAUACAUUUAAUGCUCUUCUUCCUGUAGUACAGCAAUGCCCUUACAGUGAAUUCCAGUUUGCAGUGGUGCAGUGGUGGUUUACAUUAAUUUCAGUUUUUAUCAAAUUCGCCCAAAAAUGUCAGACACCACUGAACCCACAUUCUAUCCAAUUUGCGCCACAGAGAUUAAUCAUGUGACUAAAACUGCUCAAAUUUAAAUAGAAACAUAAUAUUUUGGGUCUUAUAGAAAUGUGACCAUAUGGAAAAAUGCAUUUUGUUUAUUCAAAGAAAAACAGCAAAUACGUCCAAAUAGUUUGGAUCUUAGGUCUAGAAGUGGAAAUACUGGAUGGAGCAUUGUCCUGAGCUGUAUGUUUCCCACCAGAUCGAAUAAUGCCAUGGUUAAUGUUGACACUGCAGAGUGGGAGGAGAGGGUGGAAGCUUGGAUGGAGGCCCGGGACUUGUCUAGAGAGUUACCCACAACUCUGCUCCCAGGAUGAAAAUAUUGAAAGGCAAGCACUCUGCCCAAUCAAAUUAAUUUUCUGCAUGACAUGCCAUGACGCCUGAAAAAAUGGUUGCUGCAUGAGAAGCUAUGUGUGUGUGUGUGUGUGUGUGUGUGUGUGUGUGUGUGUGUGUGUGUGUGUGUGUGUGAGGUAGGUAAUUGGUGCUGGAAAAUGUCAAGAGUAGAUGUGAGAACCAAACUGUUGAAAAGAGCUCGUGCUUUUAUUUUGAAUACAGGAAGUACCUGACCAUGCCUGUGUGUAUGGGACGUGUUUCAGAGUCCUGCAGUGUGACUGUUAAAGUGUGUGUUGUUAUGAACCUGUUAUUUCUUACACAAAACAGACUCAGCACCCAGUAAAUUGAACUAAACAAGCUGAAAAUCACAAAGUCCUUCUUUUCAUCUUGUUAAUGAGUCAAAAUGUUUAUAAAUUCCAACUCAUAUUCACCUCCUGUGCAGUUAUUCUAUGCAUGCUCUGCUUUAUCUGCCACACACAUGAACUUCCAGUGUGUACGACUGAAGUACACCACCCUGUUUAAAGUACACACGCUAUGUGUGUGCUCCACACCUCCACACAGCUCCUCCAUUUAUGAGUGAAAUACACUGAGGCAGAAACAAGGAUGAAAACAUGCUUUUAAAAAUGCAAAUAAAUAAAAUGAAUUGAGUUCUGUAAUAUUUUCACGUAUAAGGGAUGAAUGGGCUUUUUACUGUAAACUUAAAACAUUUACAGCAUUGCAUUUGUUUAUAUUUGUUGGCAUUACAAAUACUUGAUUAUUAUUUCUGUGUCAGAAUUUCCUCACUACAGAGUAACAAGCUACCAGUUUGGGACACGGUGAACUUUAGCAGCCUAAACUGUCUUUGUUGUUACAGCUUACAGUUUAGCUUAAUGUGACCUUGAACCAUCACACUGUUGUGCUGCUACGCACACAGGCUGCUGGGGGAGCUCCUGUGGUUUGUGCUGAGUUUCACCGAGUCACAAACAUGCGCUGGACACAGACACACACCACGACCCGACACAGACAGAAGGCAGCGGAAGCAGCUGUCAGUGUGAAACACUCUGCAGCUCCUCCAGUAUAUCUGCAUCACAGAGACAUGUAAUGUGAGUGUUAUUUGCAUGACCUAACUUACUAACAGUGAGGCAAUACUCCCUCCUACCCACGCUUUCUGUGGGUAUUUUUACCCGAGCAGCUACCAUAUGGCCCUGGAAAAAAUGCAUCCGACCCUACCGACCAUCGAGUAAAUACUUUGUUGCUGAAUAUUUUGCUACACUGUCAAAUUACCUCAAGGCCGUGUUACUUAUUGAUACUGUGUCUAUUCCAAGUGGGAUGAGACAAACAUGACUGAC